rnacentral:rRNA from 1 species
UGUGGAAUAUUGGACAAUGGGCGAAAGCCUGAUCCAGCCAUGCCGCGUGUGUGGAGAAGGUCUUCGGAUUGUAAAGCACUUUAAGUUGGGAGGAAGGGCAGUAAGCGAAUACCUUGCUGUUUUGACGUUACCGACAGAAUAAGCACCGGCUAACUCUGUGCCAGCAGCCGCGGUAAUACAGAGGGUGCAAGCGUUAAUCGGAAUUACUGGGCGUAAAGCGCGCGUAGGUGGUUCGUUAAGUUGAAUGUGAAAGCCCCGGGCUCAACCUGGGAACUGCAUCCAAAACUGGCGAGCUAGAGUAGGGCAGAGGGUGGUGGAAUUUCCUGUGUAGCGGAGAAAUGCGUAGAUAUAGGAAGGAACACCAGUGGCGAAGGCGACCACCUGGGCUCAUACUGACACUGAGGUGCGAAAGCGUGGGGAGCAAACAGG